AAAUUAUAAUUAUUUUCAUAUUGUAGGAGCGCUUGGGAUAAAAUCAAGAGUGGGCUUUGUGGAAGGAAUUGUGGAUUAAUGUGCAGCUCA
ensembl:ncRNA F47B7.14 ncRNA